GGGAGGAUCACUCAUCUUGGAAACAACAAUCUAGAAUGUCCUGGUUCUGAAAGUGGAUCAGUUAGGUUUCUUUCAUGCUACAUGAAUGGGCUUUUAUGCAGAGACAACAGAUUUCCAGUACAAAAGACAGGAUUCAUGCUGCUUCCUUUUUUCCACUGUCCCAGGAAAAGAGGAGUGACUUCAGCAGUUCCUUAGAUCUGGGUUUUUCUCACACACCCAGAAUUUGCUUUGGUGAAGGCAGCCAGGCAAGUCAGGAAGGAGACCACUCAACACGUAAAGAAUGCCAUGCUGUUUUCUUCCUACGGCUCCCUUCUAAUCUGGAGGUUCUCAAAGGGGGGAGAAAUGAAAGAAAAAAAAAAAGGAAGAGAAACCAAAAAAUGUGGUAUUAGAGUCUAAAAGGAACAGAGAGAGUUUCUAAAAGGAACUAGUGGCAAAGUGAAAAAAUUCCCAGAUAGGGAAAAUAGGUUUAGAAAGAAUGCUGUUGUUAGUUUUAGCUAAAAGAAAGUUCCAGAAAACUCCUGAAAAAGCUUCAGUUUCUGUGCAGAAGGGAAGCUCACAGGGAGGAAGGCAAUCAUGUAAAUUGACUGAGUAACAGAAUAAAGGAGAGAGUUGAGAUGAAUGAUCGAAGCAGAAGUGAAUUAUUUUUCAAAGAAAUGGGAUGGCAUUUAUCUGAAAAUAACUAACAAAAUAAGCAUUUUGUUCUAUCAAUCUGUAUGUCUGUUACAUUGUUAACAUCACAGGGUCUAAAUUAUGGAACUCCAUACAUAGUAAAGCUUGAAAUCUGUAUGUGUGUCCUCCAACUUUGUUUUUAUUCUCCCAAUUGCUUUGAUUAUUGUAAGUCUUUUUCAUUUUCAUAUACAUUUUUGAAUCAGUUUUUCAAUUUCCACCAAAAAAAUCUAGGUUGUUUUAAUUGGUAUUGUUUUCUUUCUUUCUUUCUUUCUUUCUUUCUUUCUUUCUUUCUUUCUUUCUUUCUUUCUUUCUUAGAAAUGUUUAUUUAGUUUUGGGGGAGAGAGCAUGAGCAGGGGAGGGGCAGAGAGAGAGGGGGACAGAGGAUCCAAAGCAGGCUCUGCACUGACAGCAGAGAGCCCAAUGUGGGGCUUGAACUCAUGACAUGUGAGAUCAUGACCUGAGCCAAAAUCAGAUGCUCAACUGACUUAGCCACAAUCCAGGUGCCCCAGGAUUGUUUUCAAUGUACAGACUGAUUCGGAGGAGACAUGACAACUUUGAUAAUCUUAGGUCCUCGUGAUCAAUGAAUAUAUUUUCCCACUUACAUAAUCUAUUUUUAAAAUGUGGCUUCUCACAUUCAAUGUUUUGUAGUCUUUUAGCAUAUAGAUAUAGCACAUCUUCUUUCAAAGCUAUUUCUAAAAGUUUCUUGAUUUUGAUGCUACUGUAACUUUUGAUGCUAUUUUUAUUUCAAUUUCUAAUUGUUCAUUGUUACGAAAUUUUAAUGUAUUAGUGCUCCUCCUCCUGCAUUGCUAAGCUCACUUGUUAGUCCUGGUAGCUCUUUUGUAAAUGCUCUGGGGUUUUCUAUGUAAAUUAUCAUCCAUUCUGUAAAUAAAAUU